CUACGGGCUGCAGCAGUGGGGAAUAUUGGACAAUGGGGGAAACCCUGAUCCAGCAAUGCCGCGUGUGUGAAGAAGGCCUGCGGGUUGUAAAGCACUUUCGGUUGGGAGGACUGCUUCUAGCACUAAUAUUGUUGGAAGUUGACGUUACCUUCAGAAGAAGCACCGGCUAACUCCGUGCCAGCAGCCGCGGCAAUACGGAGGGUGCAAGCGUUAAUCGGAAUUACUGGGCGUAAAGCGCGCGUAGGCGGCUAGAUCAGUCGGGUGUGAAAGCCCCGGGCUUAACCUGGGAACUGCAUCCGAUACUGUCUAGCUUGAGUACAGGAGAGGAGAGUGGAAUUCCGCAUGUAGCGGUGAAAUGCGUAGAUAUGUGGAGGAACACCAAUGGCGAAGGCAGCUCUCUGGCCUGAUACUGACGCUGAGGUGCGAAAGCGUGGGGAGCAAACAGGAUUAGAUACCCCAGUAGUC
rnacentral:rRNA from 1 species